UUGUGGCGGUUGGCGCCCAACAUUCAGGAGUUCUCAUAGGAGAAAGCGCGACCCCGAGCGGCUGUCACGUGGGCUGGGCUGCAAUUGGAGAUGCUGCAUCUGUAAAUCCCAGCCCCGGGAGGUGGGAGCCAGGAUCUCAGCUGUUUAAACCCCUCUACCCCCCAUCAACUUGGUUAAAUGGAUAACAUGGGACUACAUUGGUUUUCUGUGACUGCACAAACGGGAAAAUGGCGUAUGUGUGUGGUGACAUCAUUGACACAUGCGCAGAGGGUACUGGCAGGCAUGGCGCAUCGGAAUGACAUCAUUGGAUUUCUGUGCACUCACAGCCAGUGUGCAUGUGCAGACGGGUAUCGGCAGCCAUCUUGCAUUGGCAAGAGACACAGUUGAAAUAAAAUAGGGAGAGGGUUUGCAAACUGGAAGCUCCGACCUGAUAUUGUGUCAGUCUGACCGAGCCACUUGAUUCCUCAGCACCUGAAGAUCAUCGACAAUUUGUAAGGGGAAAGCAGCAUUUACAGCUAGGAAAGACUGUACAUGUGUUCUAUGUUGUGUGUGGACACAGAUUCGACUGACUGACCGAUCUGGGGAGGUUCAACUCAAACAAAACUGGGAGAGUCUGUGUGGACAAUGUGGGGACAGCAGGAAGGGAUUCAGUUAUCGUUCUAAUCUGGAAACUUAUUGAUACGGUCACAUCCGGGGAAAGGCUGUUCACCUGUCCCGUUGUGAAAAGGGAUUCUGUCAAUUUUCAAACAUGUUGAGGCAUGAGCGAGUUCACACCGGGAAUGGAUUUAAUCAGUCAUCCCACCUGCUGAGACAUCAGGGGGUUCACAGCGGGGAGAGGCCCUUCACCUGCUCUAUGUGUGGAAAAGAAUUCACUGAAUCAUUGAUCCUGCUGAGACACCAGUGAGUUCACACAAGGAAGAGACCGUUCAUCUGCUCCGUGUGGGGGAAGGGAUUCACAGAAUUAUCCAACUUGGUGAGACACCAGCGAGUUCACACAUGACUGCACUGCUUCAAUUCUGCAGUUAUUGCUGAUAUUAAUCCGAUUCAGGACUGAAACUUGUUAAUUAUGACAAUGGGGAGUCUUGAUGCUGUUGAUGUUAACCACAGUAACUGGGUUGCAGUUGACAGAAAUGGCGUCUUUCCCGGCCUCAGGAUGUCUCUGUGCACAGUCAGCCUCCACAACCAGCAAUGUGAAAAUGACCAGAGAUGAUCUGUUUUCAGUGAGAUUGUUGAGAGUGAAAUAUUGGCCAGGACAAUGGGGAGAGUUCCUCUGCUCUCCUUCAAAAUAGAGUCCGUGGGAUCUUUUACAUCCUCCUGAGAGGGCAGACAGGACCCUCAGUUUAACAUCUUCAUAUCUCCUUAUGUGGCUCAGGGUCAUCACUCCUGUGCAGCACUUUGGGAUGUUUUACAUUGUGUGAAAGGAACGUUACAAAUGUGGAUGAAUGUGACAUCGCAGAUGUAGAUGUGCCGGGUGAAUCUGAACCGGGUGUCGACUCACUGGGUGAAGCCAACCUGCCCAUGAGCUCCUUGGUCCCAUAGCCCCAGCUAACCUACCCACAAGCCUCUUGGCCCCAUAACACCAGCUAACCUACCCACGAGCUCCUUGGUCCCAUAACACCAGCUAACCUAUCCAUGAGCUCCUUGGUCCCAUAACACCAGCUAACCUACCCACGAGCUCCUUGGUCCCAUAACACCAGCUAACCUACCCGCAAGCUCCUUGGCCCCAUAGCCCCAGCUAUCUACCCACAAGCUCGUUGGCCCCAUAGAGUCCCUCCUGAUCCAGGAACCUGAAGCCCUCCUUCCUGCAACAAUUCUUCAGCCGCACGUGAACCAGCCAUGUUCUUAUAUUCCUCUCCUCAGUAUCACCCAGCAUUGGGAGUAAUCCCAAGAUUAUUCCCUCAUCUUUCAUAUCCUCCCAAGAUCCUGAAAUUUUUGACCACAAGAUCUCAACCCUUUUCCUUCCCUUGUAGCUGGGAUUGACUGGAUUUGGGAGAAUUGACCUUCUAUUUGGGUCAAUUGACUCUAGAUUUGUAGGGGAUCAACUCUGAAUUUGGGUGGAUUGGCUUUGGUUUUAGGGGAUUGUUUCUGGAUUUAGGACAUUAUACUGUAGGUUGUUACUUUCUUAGCCAAAUAAAAGUUCAAUGCUGAA